UUUGCUACUAUUUGCUGAAGGAAUUGUAUG
rnacentral:piRNA from 1 species